rnacentral:rRNA from 1 species
UACGGAGGGUGCAAGCGUUAAUCGGAAUUACUGGGCGUAAAGCGCACGCAGGCGGUUGGAUAAGUUAGAUGUGAAAGCCCCGGGCUCAACCUGGGAAUUUCAAGUGAAACUGUUCAGCUAGAGUCCUGUAGAGGGGGGUAGAAUUCCAGGUGUAGCGGUGAAAUGCGUAGAGAUCUGGAGGAAUACCGGAGGCGAAGGCGGACCCCUGGACUAAGACUGACGCUCAGGUGCGAAAGCGUGGGGAGCAAACAGG